rnacentral:misc_RNA from 1 species
UACGGAGGGUGCAAGCGUUGUUCGGAAUUACUGGGCGUAAAGAGCACGUAGGCGGGCUUGUAAGUCGAUUGUGAAAGCCCUGGGCUUAACCCGGGAAUUGCAGUCGAAACUGCGAGUCUUGAAUGCUUGAGAGGGUGGUGGAAUUCCUGGUGUAGAAGUGAAAUUCGUAGAUAUCAGGAGGAACACCAGUGGCGAAGGCGGCCACCUGGCAAGACAUUGACGCUGAGGUGCGAAAGCGUGGGGAGCAAACAGG